GUGGGGAAUAUUGCACAAUGGGCGAAAGCCUGAUGCAGCAACGCCGCGUGAAGGAUGAAGGUCUUCGGAUCGUAAACUUCUGUCCUUGGGGAAGAAGCUAGUGACGGUACCCAUGGAGGAAGCCCCGGCUAACUACGUGCCAGCAGCCGCGGUAAUACGUAGGGGGCAAGCGUUAUCCGGAAUUAUUGGGCGUAAAGAGUGCGUAGGUGGCUUUUUAAGCGCAGGGUUUAAGGCUAUGGCUUAACCAUAGUUCGCCCUGCGAACUGAAGAGCUUGAGUGCAGGAGAGGAAAGCGGAAUUCCUAGUGUAGCGGUGAAAUGCGUAGAUAUUAGGAGGAACACCAGUGGCGAAGGCGGCUUUCUGGACUGAAACUGACACUGAGGCACGAAAGCGUGGGGAGCAAACAGG
rnacentral:rRNA from 1 species